GCACCAGACCAGGCUGCCCAGAGGCACAGUAGCACAGAUGCUUCUUUGAUCCCAGAGUCUUCUGCUCCCUCAGACAGACUGGAUUAAGUCUCCUUUACAUAUCCACUGGGCUUCUGACUAUCCAUUCAGGAAGAUUGCAGUUGUUGCCAAAAUUUGGACCCAUCUUUUGUAUUUUGUACUGUUUAUUUUGACUCAGCAUGAGGAGCUUGGAGGAGGAGGUCUGCAACCAAAAAUGGGAACUAUCACCUUCAGAAGAGCUCAAUCUGCUGCAAUUAAAUGGCCUGAAAUAUAGAGUAGUACUUAAGUCAAUUGUGUUUCUGAAGAGCAAUGAUGAAAUGAGGACCCAAGAGUCUGUCAGCAAGUACAGAAUUAAAUGAAUGGGACCUGAAGAUGUUGUAUUGUAAGAAGGUGAAUUUGUGAAAUUAACUACAACAGAAAGCCUCUGCUGAAAAGGCCUGUGUAAGACAAUGCUCUGCAUUAUCAGAAGUAAGUGUAAGAAGAAUCUUAGAUACGAUUAUUCAUUUCAAAGAGCUCUUCCAUUAAUUGUGCCUUUAUUAACAUAACCAUCAGAAGUACUCGCCUGGAGCAUGCAAGCUCUGGACAAGCACUGAGAGGGAAGGCAGGGCAGCACAACAGGGGAUGGCAGCCAAGGAGUGCCCUCAGGGAGGGCAGCAGCAGGGCACUGCAAUGCAGGGAGGGCUUUCCUGCAGCAUAGCCAUUCCCAGCCACACAGCCAGCACAGGCAAGCACAGCAUAGCCACGGUUUGCACCUUUUCUUAGCGUAGGCUUAGAAUCCUGGAGUUCUAUUGAGCUUUACCAAUGUUUGCUGGGCCGUGAAAAUCUGUGUUUGUGGAAGUUGAGACAAAUGAUGCAAGAAAAUCAAAAGUGCUCUUUUGAAACAGCAAAUCCUUAAUGAUGCAUGACUUUCCUAAUCUCAGCUAUCCUGACAUUCUGUUUUUAUUGCUUUUUUUCCCACUUUUCCAUAGUCUUCC